rnacentral:tRNA from 1 species
GGUAGCUUAGUCGGUAAAGCACCCGUCUGGUAAGUGGGAAGUCAGCGGUUUGUGUCCCUGACCA